rnacentral:rRNA from 1 species
ACCCAAUAGAUACCCAGGUAGUCUACGCCGUAAACGAUGUGCACUAGAUUCGAGGGCCCCUGACGGUCUUCGGGUCGAAAAACAAAAAAAGCGUUAAAGUGCGCCGCCUGGGGAGUACGGCCGCAAGGCUAAAACUCAAAGGAAUUGACGGGGGCGUCACACAAGCGGUGGAGCAUGUGGAUCAAUUCGAAGCAACGCGAAGAACCUUACCUGGGUUUGACAUGCUGGGAUGGUCGCCUUGAAAGAGGAGUGAUCUGCCCGCAAGGGUGAAACCAGUACAGGUGCUGCAUGGCUGUCGUCAGCUCGUGCUGUGAAGUGUCGGGUUU